rnacentral:rRNA from 1 species
UCAGGCCUAACACAUGCAAGUCGAGCGGGGUUUUCGGACCUAGCGGCGGACGGGUGAGUAAUGCGUAGGAAGCUACCCGAUAGAGGGGGAUACCAGUUGGAAACGACUGUUAAUACCGCAUAAUGUCUACGGACCAAAGUGUGGGACCUUCGGGCCACAUGCUAUCGGAUGCGCCUACGUGGGAUUAGCUAGUUGGUGAGGUAAUGGCUCACCAAGGCGACGAUCCCUAGCUGGUUUGAGAGGAUGAUCAGCCACACUGGAACUGAGACACGGUCCAGACUCCUACGGGAGGCAGCAGUGGGGAAUAUUGGACAAUGGGCGAAAGCCUGAUCCAAAAGGGCCGCGUGUGUGAAGAAGGCCUUCGGG